AGCUACUAGAAACAAGAGGCUGGAAGAAAACUGGUGCGUGUGACUCUGCGCUGAGGCAGAGGAAGGCACGUACAAAGAACCUGCCUGCCUUGCAUAGAAAGCUGCUUCGUGCCUCUGAGUGCUGCUAAGAUCCGAGCUGCUGUCGCUAUCCUGCCACCAUCACAAAGGGCCCACAGAACCAUCAAGCCAACCUUCUCAGCCCGUGUACUGAGCCAGUGCCAGCAGACAUAUCUGCAGGUGAAAAAAAAUAAAUCUCUAUUUGUUUGA